AGCAUAUCAAUAAGCGGAGGAAAAGAAACCAACAGGGAUUGCCUCAGUAACGGCGAGUGAAGCGGCAACAGCUCAAAUUUGAAAUCUGGCUCCUUCGGGGCCCGAGUUGUAAUUUGGAGAAGAUGCUUCGGGUGUGGUCCCGGCCUAAGUUCCUUGGAACAGGACGUCACAGAGGGUGAGAAUCCCGUACGUGGCCGGUGGCCGCCCCCGUGUGAAGCUCUUUCGACGAGUCGAGUUGUUUGGGAAUGCAGCUCAAAAUGGGUGGUAAAUUUCAUCUAAAGCUAAAUAUUGGCCAGAGACCGAUAGCGCACAAGUAGAGUGAUCGAAAGAUGAAAAGCACUUUGGAAAGAGAGUUAAACAGUACGUGAAAUUGUUGAAAGGGAAGCGCUUGCAACCAGACUUGCGCGCGGCCGAUCAUCCGGUGCUCGCACCGGUGCACUCGACCGCGCGCAGGCCAGCAUCGGUUUGGGCGGCUGGACAAAGGCCCCGGGAACGUGACCCCUCUCGGGGGGUGUUAUAGCCCGGGGCGCAAUGCAGCCCGCCCGGACCGAGGACCGCGCUUCGGCUAGGAUG
rnacentral:rRNA from 1 species